rnacentral:rRNA from 1 species
CCUACGGGGGGCAGCAGUGAGGAAUAUUGGUCAAUGGACGAGAGUCUGAACCAGCCAAGUAGCGUGAAGGAUGACUGCCCUAUGGGUUGUAAACUUCUUUUAUAAAGGAAUAAAACGAGGCACGUGUGCCUUUUUGCAUGUACUUUAUGAAUAAGGAUCGGCUAACUCCGUGCCAGCAGCCGCGGUAAUACGGAGGAUCCGAGCGUUAUCCGGAUUUAUUGGGUUUAAAGGGAGCGUAGAUGGGUUGUUAAGUCAGUUGUGAAAGUUUGCGGCUCAACCGUAAAAUUGCAAUUGAUACUGGCAGUCUUGAGUACAGUAGAGGUAGGCGGAAUUCGUGGUGUAGCGGUGAAAUGCUUAGAUAUCACGCAGAACCCCGAUUGCGAAGGCAGCAUACUAAACUGUGACUGACAUUGAUGCUCGAAAGUGUGGGUAUCAAACAGGAUUAGAUACCCCGGUAGUC